CCUACGGGAGGCAGCAGUGAGGAAUAUUGGUCAAUGGACGAGAGUCUGAACCAGCGAAGUAGCGUGAAGGAUGAAUGCCCUCUGGGUUGUAAACUUCUUUUAUAGAGGAAUACAACGAGGCACGUGUGCCUUUUUGCACGUACUUUAUGAAUAAAGAUCGGCUAACUCCGUGCCAGCAGCCGCGGUAAUACGGAGGAUCCGAGCGUUAUCCGGAUUGAUUGGGUUUAAAGGGAGCGUAGAGGGGUUGUUAAGUCAGUUGUGGAAGUUUGCGGCGUAACCGUAGAAUUGCAAUUGAUACUGGCAGUCUUGAGUACAGUUGAGGUAGGCGGAAUUCGUGGUGUAGCGGUGAAAUGCUUAGAUAUCACGAAGAACCCCGAUGGCGAAGGCAGCUUACUAAGCUGUGACUGACAUUGAGGCUCGAAAGUGUGGGUAUCAAACAGGAUUAGAUACCCCAGUAGUC
rnacentral:rRNA from 1 species